rnacentral:SRP_RNA from 1 species
GCCGGGCGUGGUGGCGGGCGCCUGUAGUCCCAGCUACUGGGGAGGCUGAGGCAGGAGAAUCGCUUGAACCCAGGAGGCGGAGGUUGCAGUGAGUCGAGAUCACGCCACUGCAUUCCAGCCUGGGUGACACAGCAAGACUCUGUCUCAA